UGUAUGUCACCAUUCAUAGCCUA
rnacentral:siRNA from 1 species